rnacentral:rRNA from 1 species
CUACGGGACGCAGCAGUGGGGAAUAUUGCACAAUGGGCGCAAGCCUGAUGCAGCCAUGCCGCGUGUAUGAAGAAGGCCUUCGGGUUGUAAAGUACUUUCAGCGGGGAGGAAGGGAGUAAAGUUAAUACCUUUGCUCAUUGACGUUACCCGCAGAAGAAGCACCGGCUAACUCCGUGCCAGCAGCCGCGGUAAUACGGAGGGUGCAAGCGUUAAUCGGAAUGACUGGGCGUAAAGCGCACGCAGGCGGUUUGUUAAGUCAGAUGUGAAAUCCCCGGGCUCAACCUGGGAACUGCAUCUGAUACUGGCAAGCUUGAGUCUCGUAGAGGGGGGUAGAAUUCCAGGUGUAGCGGUGAAAUGCGUAGAGAUCUGGAGGAAUACCGGUGGCGAAGGCGGCCCCCUGGACGAAGACUGACGCUCAGGUGCGAAAGCGUGGGGAGCAAACAGGAUUAGAUACCCCGGUAGUC